ACGGCGCUGCCGCUGCUGGCGGGUUCAGGCCGGCCUGCGGGCGCUGUGGGCUCGCCGUGCCCCCGCGCAGCCCCACACAGCCCAAUCCGGCCCGGCCCGGCCGAGGAGCUCCCGCCCGGCCUCCUCCUUCUGCCGAGUGGCCGGGGGGCAGGCAAGGCUCCCUUCCCGGCCGCCCUCUCCCAGCCGGGACCUCCGCUGCCGUGCCGGGACAGACAAUGGACGAGGCGGUCCCGGAGAAACGUGGCCGCCGCCAAAGUACGGAGCAGGCAGGUUCCCAAAGACUGCAACGUCAUUAGGAAACACCGUCUGGUCGGAUUCCUUGCUGAAAAGUGGGAUCAAAUGCAUCUCUGUAGUUCCUGACAAACGACGCCAAAGCUGUUAUUAAAGCCUGCAGGGGCGGAGAUUUCAAGUGAAACAGUGAGCUGAUGGGACUGAGAAAACUUACAGCAACAUCUCAUAACUGGAAGUCAGAGGCACAGAGCUGCUUCUGAGCAUCUUUCUCUUGCAUGUCCCUUUGGAGUUUGAAGCUAUGCAUUGAUGUUGGAAGGAGGCAGGUGGCAGGUACAAAUUUUAUGAAAACAGCAGAGGAGGCUGAUACGACAACAGCUUUGAAAUAUGAAGAUGCUGCUGCCAAGGGAAAGGGAAUUGUUUGUUUUCUGUGUUUGACUUACUGGCUUAAAUAGCCACUAGGUUAGAUCAGCAGCCUGGAACCUCAUGCCUGUGGGCUGCCUGGGCUCCUCUGAAAGCACUCUGGUCAAUCUGCCAGUCAUAAUGCUGGCUGCUGGGAACAUGCCAAUAAAAUGUGCUGAUAAUUCUCAUCCUGCAGCAUUCUCUCUGAGCAGUCUGUCUCUUUCGUGUUCUCCAUGUCCUCACAAAGAAGUGCCCUUCCCUGGCUCAGCGCCCAGUGCCAACAGAACACCUUGCAGGAUCCUCAGCAGCGCAGACAACACUCCAAGAUGCCGGCCUCGGCUUGGAACGGAGCGGUGUCAUGGCGGAGACGACGGCCUUUGUCUCGCAGGGUGUGAAAGCAUCCGUUGUGCUGGCUCCACUGCGGCAGAAUGAUGUCUAAAGGGGGGAAAAGUGCUGGAAGUCCGAGUUGUGCGGCGCUGGCGGGGGAGCCCCAUCCCCAUGGUGUGCGUCCGAGGAAGGGCUCGCGGCGGAGGAGCCUGGUCUGUAAUCCUGGCACUCGUGCCUCCGGUCGCUGCCUGCCGCUUGCUCCUGGGGGUCUGGAUAAUCUCCCUUGGCUCUACGGCACUGUCUGGCCCGCGCUCAGGGCCCCCGUAACAUAUACCCGCUGCCGCGAUCGCAGGGAGCUGUGGCGUUGCCACUGAAUGGAUGGCACUGUGCCAACUCCGCUGCCAUCCGCCCUUGCAGCUCUUUUCCUCCCUCCUCCCUCUCGCUCUCCCCUCCUCCUCCUCCUCCCGUCGACUUGAUGUUAAUUAACACACGGGUUAAUUGAUUUUAAAAGCUGAAGAAUUACAGUUAAGUUUUCCCACAGGGUACGGCCGCCAGCCGCCUGGCACGGCGGUGCCUGGCGCGGUGCAGGGGCGGCAGCGCCCGCAGCCGGACCUGCCCCGCCGAGGGAUGCACGGCCGGCCCUGCCCGGGGAUGCACGGCCGGCCCUGCCCGGGGAUGCACGGGCUGCUGGAGCCUGCCGGGGCGGCUGGCACUCCUGCCUCGUCCUUCCGAUCGAUCACCGCUCUAUUUUGCUACGGACACAAGCCCUCCCCUCGGCUCUGCCAUGCACCUUUCAAACGGAGCGCGGCUGAAGCUGCGGCAGAGCAGCCGUGCCCCGAGCCCCGUGGCAGCCCACGGGCGGCUCACAGUGCACGGUCCCCGGCCCGAGCACCCCGCGUGGCAGCGAGCAGCGCCAGAGGCCCCCAGCCGCCACCGGCUUGUCCGGCCCGCCGCAGCUCAGCUGCUCUAAUCGGCUCCGAUGUGUUGCUUGGGGCGAAGCAUCAAAACCAAGGGAAAGUUAGUUUGUUGUAAUUAGGAGAGAAAUAACCCAUCUGGGCUUCGGUUUUUCACUCUCCCUUGCCCCAGUGUGCCGCUGGUGAGGGUGACAGAGUGGCAGGAGGAGGCGCAGCAGCGCUGGGAACUUGCUGCUUUCACCUUCCUGUGCUUUCAUUUUAUUUCAUUUUGUUUUUUAAAAGCAUGAAGCAAGUGAAGCGACAAGAGGAAUCCAUUAUGCAAAUCAGGUCACAUUUGCAUAAUGUCUCAUGACUGGAAUAUGCAAAUGAGUUGUAUAAUUUAUGAGUGCCAGUGUCUGUCUAAAAGUGUUUCCCAGAAUUUACAAAAACUGCAGCGUGGAGAGGCAGCUGCUGGUUGCCCUGCCAGGAGGGUCCACACUUGCUCUACAAAGUCCGCUUGAGUCUGGGAGUGCAAACGUCUGGGAAUGAGAACGGAGCCCCCCUUCCCACCCGGUCCUCUUGCUUUAUUUAUUUCCCAUUACUCCCUCCACCAAGCUCCCACCUGCUCCCCUCGAAUUGCUCUGAGGAGGCAAGGCUAGGGCCAGGGCAGCGGGCUGGAGGGACGGGCAGUCCCACAGGUGGCUCAGCCGGGGCUCGCUGGUGUCCCCUGGGGCUGUCACCAGCCGCAGAGCCCGGCGCUGUUCAGGUGAGCGAGCUCACAGGCACGAUGUGCGCUGAGGAGCCGCUCGGAGCCCCUCACCACCCACAGUGGGAUGGAUUCCUGCUGGUUUACUCUGCCAGCUCCAGCCCUGCUCGGAUCUGAGCCCCGUGACCUGGGGGACAGCUGCAGGCUCAGCGCAGGGCUGGCACUGCCAGCCGAGGGACCCCGAGUGUCCUGUCCAACGCACAGCGUUCCAUGUCAGCACUGGAAAGGCUCUGGAAUAUCCGGACAUUCAGGCAGGUAUUAAGACAUUUUCUUUUCUUUUCUCCCUCUUCUUUGCAUGUCUGGUGAUCUGGGGAGCACCAAGAGGGUGCAUUUGGGAUCCUGCACCUGGGCAAGCCACUGUUGUGAGCUAUCUGCACAGGGAGAGGAUAAAUAAUAAUGUGCAGGCCCGUGGAAAGCUGUGUGGGUCACAGCCUGCCACUCUGGGCAGCAUCUGACGAGAAGCAGCGGGAUGGGAGAGCCCAGGGGUCAGGAGAGAUCAGCAUCAGCCUUCCUCAGCUUUGUGAAGUCCCCAAAAGGGCUUUUGGGCAAGAAAGUGUGAAUUGCUGUUCUCAAGAGUCUGAGUUUCAAUUGUAAAACCCAAAUGUUUGUCUCCCUGGUUCCAAAUCAUUUUUGGUGUUAGAUGCCUCCAAAGUGAAGAAUCUCACGUUUUCCAUCAGUUUCAAAAUACUGUGGCUGUGUGUGUGGUUUGUUUAGUGGAUGCAGGUAAAGACUGUGGCAGUGAGAGUCACACUGAGCAUCCCCAGGAAAAAGCAGUGAGUUCAUAGACUGUGCUUUUACCUGUGGCUGGAGAUUUCUGGUGUGGGAAUAUGAAGAGACCCUCCACAUCAGGUACAAGGCAAACCACCAUGUAGUCUGUGUGACACAUCAGUGAGAGGCAGCAGCACAGCCAGACUCUGAACCAUCUUGUGCUUGUUGCUGCUCGGGGUUGGUGCCUGCACCAAGGGGUGACUGUCACCCCAGCACCGAGGGCUGACUGUCCCCAUGCUGGUCCUUGCUGGCACAGAAAAGCAGCUGAGUCUGACAUGGAGAAGGUGCAAGAGCAGGGAACAACUGGUGUGUCCCCCUGGAGGCAGGGUGCUUUGUGGACAGCAGGAAGGGCUGAGAGCAGUGGGAGGAAGAGGGAUGGUGGCCCUGGGGAAUUUCCCACAGCUCCAUGAUCAGUGGAUCCAUCCUGCAAUGUCAGGAGUCAGAGAUCUUUUUAACCUCAAGGCAAACCACCCUGUUUCACUUGUCACAAAGGCUCCUGCAGGCUGGAAAGGAGAGACAGAUGCCUGCUUCCCUGUUGGGGUCUUCAGUGUAGCACCAGCAGAUCCUACACUGGACUGGUGUGGGUCUCCAGAUGGGGACCAGGGAUGGGCUCGCUGUCAGAGCUGCCCAGCACCAAGGCUGGGCCAUGGCUGGGAGGAAGAGCUCUUCCUGUGGGGCAAUUUGCAGGUGUCAGGGGGUACUCACUCUUUGUUUGGGGGGAGCCCACUGCUGUGUCUGGAGCUGCCCCACCGUGUCCUGGGCGGUGUGGGGUCUGGUGUCAGUCACACUCCUUGUGCCAAGGGCUGCAUGGGGAGCUGGUCCCAGUCCCCAUCCUGCUCUGGGCUGUUCAGUGUGCUGGUUCUGGUCCCCAGCUCACACUCUAUGCUCCUUUCUGAUAUUUUUAUGAAACACCAAAACACAUGAAUGUUCUGUUGUGGUUUUGGUGCUGCACAGAGGGCUGGAGAAUGUUUAGGGAUGAAACAGCUUUUUUGGGGUGGGAGAAGGAAAGGUCAUCCAGAAUAGGCACCAAAACCUCUAUCUGCCAUACAAGAUUGUCUGGUCUCUGUAGGUCAGUAACAAGGGACAGCUCAUGGGGAAUCUCUCACACUGCUGCUCCUUCAUGGUCUGUGUUUCUUUUGAGGUGGUGGCUUUUGCCAGCUGAGCAGAGCAUACCUGACAGAUUCCUGUUGCUCUCUUCCAGUGUUCUCCUGUGGUUCCUCACCCGUGGCAUUGGAAGAACUUCCUGCAGCUCCACCCUUGGGACUUCCUGGGGCCUUUGUGUGCAGGACUUGCUCUCUGUCCCUCAAUGAGAUAAACUGUGUGAAACACAGAUCCAGGGACUUUGAUCUGUGGCUCCUCUGUGCCUGGGGCUCCCCAGCAGAGCACAGUUUAGCCAUGUGUCUGUUGGCAUUGCCUGUUGUUAUCAUUUCCAACAAGGGUUCCCAUUCAACUUAGAGUCACUCCACUGCCUGCUUCCAUUCUUCCAGUACCAAUGCUGUUUUGAGCAGUUGGAUACAGUUACAGAUAGCCCCCCCAAAAACUGCAGUUUCCUUCCAGCCUCUCCUGGGUAAGGCAUGCACCAUCAGGCAAUGCCAGCCUUGGCAAUUUUCCACUCCUAUCGACUCCAAACAGCUGCUGGUGCCAAUGCAAUGACCCACAUUCUGAGCUGGCAGCUCUUUCCCUCCCUUACUCAGUCUUCCAGAAGAAGGGUGACGUAGAGACAGACUCUAAGCACUGUCUGAGCAGGUCCAUGAGGGCACCAGUGUGCCAGCAAAAAGCAUCAGCCAUUAGCAUCACAUCACCUGCCUUAGCACACCUGGCAGAUGUGCUCAGCAUUAGGAACAGCUUGCCUGCAUGGGGCUUUUUGCCUGAUGGUUAUAGUUAAAAACAGUUCUAAGCAGAGCGUGUAAAAUCUUUAAAUCUUUAACAAAUCUCUCAUAAUUCCCAGCUAAGUAGAUUAAAGUUGACUGCAGGCUUUAAAAAGAAGCAAGCUGAUCACUUGCAGGACAGAGAAAAUAAAUGAAAUUAAAACCAUCACAGGGUAAAUGUGCAGCUCCCAUGUUCCUGGUGUAGAUAAAAUUAGGGUGGCAGGAUGGCAGGCAGACCACUGGUCCUGGGUUCGAUGGAGGCAAAGAUUCAGUGAGAUGAGGCAAUACAGCACAAUUCUGUAUCAAAAGAAUCACUCAAAAGCAUCAAAGAUGCUGCAGGCAGAUUUUAUCAGGAUGCUGCGCACUUGGGGAACAAAGUGGUGUUGUGUGGACAGCUUCUUCAGCCAAACAGGACAGGCUGCUGAAGUCCCAGGCAGAAGUCAGGAUCCUUGUUAAGAUUCAUGCUGAUGUUAAGGUCCCGAGCAUCAGAGCAGCCUGUUUGUGGCUCUGGUACUCUCUUCACAGCGGUCACUGCAGCCCAUCUGUGUUUGUAAAGAUAGCUCUGAUUGGAAAUUAUAUGGUUAAAUAUCUCGGUUCAGUGGAAUUCAGCCACUUAGACUUUUCUUCAGUGACUGAAGGAGCAGAUUUUGUAGGAUUAGGCUCCUAUCUGGAGAGAUCUGGUGUUUCUCUUCCUUAGAACCAUGUGUUCCUUCCUGUGUGUAUUCCCGUAUAAGGUGGAGGAGCAUUGCUGGCUGCAGCUGUCACAGUACAGGUGAAAGCCCUCCAGCAGUGCUGCUGCAGAUCAUCACUGCAGUCCCUCAGCAGGGCCAGUCACUUCACUGCCAGCUGCUGCUCCCCUGCCUGCCUGCUCACACAGUGCCUGUGGCUCCUGCUCCCCCAGACACUCUGUCACCCUUUCUCGUGUUUUGCCCAGCCUAGUGGUGCCCACUCACUUUGCCAGCUCAGUGAUUCUGUUUACUUUGUUUUUGCCACUGUCACUGUGCUGUCCCCAGACCCAGGACUGGGACUUUCUGCUCCAGUACCUGCAGAUGUGUGUCUCAAAGGUAACACCAUGAUGAGCCAUGCUAGAAACUGCAGCAGUAUCUCCUGCUGCUGUGAUCACAUACUUGAAUGGAAGCACUGGUGUUUGAUCCUGAAGAUGUGGGAUAGCAGCAGGUUUUUGGGGUUUGGUGGUGAGCCAGAGAAACAGGUGAUGCAGGACAAAUCUUCUGAAGGGACAAAGGCUGCUCAAACUCCUGAGCAUAUGCCCAGAGAAGGGAGGUCUUGACACUCCCCCACUUUGGCAGGUGGUGUUUGGCUCCUUGAGAGCAGCUGAGAUUUGGGAGGGUUUUGCAAGCUGGGUGGGUGGUCACAUCCCUUGUCCCUCCCCCAUCCUGUGAGAUGAGCAGAGCAGACCUGGCACAGGUGACUCAGCCUGGGCCCUCACUGCUCAGAGAGUUUUAAUGGCAGAAGGAAGAAGCUGAAGUUUCCAAAGCCCCAGAAAAGGGCUCCUGAAAUGGUGACACUUCUGUUCUAAUGAAGUUACACUUUGUCUAUUCAUGGAAGGACAUGGCUCUAAACAAGGACAGGAGGGUGCCCUGCCUUAGCCUGACUCUGCCAAAAUGACAAGAGGUUCAUGUUGUUGCUCUCAGGUGACCACAGAAUAUUGUACUCAGACACUGUACUGAGGUGACAUCUGCUCCCCUUCCUCCCAAACAGACAGCUUCCUCACCCUACAGACUGCCCCAGGGCACAAUAAGUAGGUUAAUGCUUGCUUUAGGGUUAGCCUGAGGGUGAGGGUUCCCUGCAGGAACAGCAGAGUGAGGUUUCCUCUGUGCCUUUGUGAGUUCAUGUGUAGGGAUGCCUCCAAGGCAAAUGAAUUCCUACUGCUCCCAUUUCAUCACUGUGUGCCUCUUCCUGCUUCUUUGGGAUGGUGAUGUUCCUUGAGAUGACAGAGCUUUGAUUUCAGUUCCGCCAGGCUCCUAUGCUUUCCUUUGCAUGGUUUUUCCAUUUGUCAUUCAUUCUUCCAUGUCCUUGCUUCCCAGUCCUCGUUCUGGCCAGGGCAGGGAGUGGGAGCUCCAGCAGCUGCCUUGCCCUGCCUCAUGCUUCUGGCUGCCUGUUUCUUCUAUGGCCAGAUUGGCUCCCAAAAAGGAAAACAAACCAAAACACAUCAGUGGUUCUGAAUUACAAAUAUGGGUGUUCAAAAUGCAUGAAAUGAGAAAUUUCGGGCGCUUACUGCAAGAUGAAUCCACCUGUGUUGGACAUGAGUGGCAUUUCCUAUUUAUGCUCAGACUCUUGAAUAUAAAGCUAAAACAGAUGUCAAGGCAGCUGUGGACUGAGAAAACAGCAUCAGGUUGGAGAAGAGGGAGGUUUUGGUGUGUUCAUCAUUACAGACUUUGGCUGUGGCAAAGGAAAGAUAAAGAGGUGCCUAGAACCAGGUAUUCAAAAUUAAUUUCCUAUUUGUAUAGUAAUGCGUGAAGUCCCUGUGUUUAAUUUGCAUGUAAAUAUUGACUUAUAUUGUUACAUAAAAGUAGUAUUGACAUUUUCCAUGGAAA